GAUGAACGCUGGCGGCGUGCUUAACACAUGCAAGUCGAACGAAGCAUUUACGACAGAUUUCUUCGGAUUGAAGUUGUUUAUGACUGAGUGGCGGACGGGUGAGUAACGCGUGGGUAACCUGCCUUGUACUGGGGGAUAACUACUGGAAACGGUAGCUAAUACCGCAUAACGUCGCAAGACCAAAGAGGGGGACCUUCGGGCCUCUUGCCAUCGGAUGUGCCCAGAUGGGAUUAGCUAGUUGGUGAGGUAACGGCCCACCAAGGCGACGAUCGGUAGCCGGACUGAGAGGUUGAACGGCCACAUUGGGACUGAGACACGGCCCAGACUCCUACGGGAGGCAGCAGUGGGGAAUAUUGCACAAUGGGGGAAACCCUGAUGCAGCGACGCCGCGUGGAGGAAGAAGGUCUUCGGAUUGUAAACUCCUGUUGUUGAGGAAGAUAAUGACGGUACUCAACAAGGAAGUGACGGCUAACUACGUG
rnacentral:rRNA from 1 species